rnacentral:rRNA from 1 species
UACGAAGGGGGCUAGCGUUGCUCGGAAUCACUGGGCGUAAAGGGUGCGUAGGCGGGUCUUUAAGUCAGGGGUGAAAUCCUGGAGCUCAACUCCAGAACUGCCUUUGAUACUGAAGAUCUUGAGUUCGGGAGAGGUGAGUGGAACUGCGAGUGUAGAGGUGAAAUUCGUAGAUAUUCGCAAGAACACCAGUGGCGAAGGCGGCUCACUGGCCCGAUACUGACGCUGAGGCACGAAAGCCAGGGGAGCAAACGGGG